rnacentral:rRNA from 1 species
GGCUCAGGAUGAACGCUAGCUACAGGCUUAACACAUGCAAGUCGAGGGGAAACGACAUCGGAAGCUUGCUUUUGAUGGGCGUCGACCGGCGCACGGGUGAGUAACGCGUAUCCAACCUGCCCACCACUUGGGGAUAACCUUGCGAAAGUAAGACUAAUACCCGAUGAUAUCUCUAGACGACAUCUGAAAGGGNUUUAAAAGAUUUAUCGGUGAUGGAUGGGGAUGCGUCUGAUUAGCUUGUUGGCGGGGUAACGGCCCACCAAGGCAACGAUCAGUAGGGGUUCUGAGAGGAAGGUCCCCCACAUUGGAACUGAGACACGGUCCAAACUCCUACGGGAGGCAGCAGUGAGGAAUAUUGGUCAAUGGACGAGAGUCUGAACCAGCCAAGUAGCGUGCAGGAUGACGGCCCUAUGGGUUGUAAACUGCUUUUAUAAGGGAAUAAAGUGAGAGUCGUGACUCUUUUUGCAUGUACCCUAUGAAUAAGGACCGGCUAAUUCCGUG